rnacentral:rRNA from 1 species
GAUGAACGCUGGCGGCGUGCCUAAUACAUGCAAGUCGAGCGAACAGACGAGGAGCUUGCUCCUCUGACGUUAGCGGCGGACGGGUGAGUAACACGUGGAUAACCUACCUAUAAGACUGGGAUAACUUCGGGAAACCGGAGCUAAUACCGGAUAAUAUAUUGAACCGCAUGGUUCAAUAGUGAAAGACGGUUUUGCUGUCACUUAUAGAUGGAUCCGCGCCGCAUUAGCUAGUUGGUAAGGUAACGGCUUACCAAGGCAACGAUGCGUAGCCGACCUGAGAGGGUGAUCGGCCACACUGGAACUUGGACACGGUCCAGACUCCUACGGGAGGCAGCAGUAGGGAAUCUUCCGCAAUGGGGGAAAGCCUGACGGAGCAACGCCGCGUGAGUGAUGAAGGUCUUCGGAUCGUAAAACUCUGUUAUUAGGGAAAAACAAAUGUGUAAGUAACUAUGCACGUCUUGACGGUACCUAAUCAAGAAGCCACGGCUAACUACGUG